GAUGAACGCUAGCUACAGGCUUAACACAUGCAAGUCGAACGGUAAGGCCCUUCGGGGUACACGAGUGGCGAACGGGUGAGUAACACGUGGGUGAUCUGCCCUGCACUUCGGGAUAAGCCUGGGAAACUGGGUCUAAUACCGGAUAGGACCACUGCCUGCAUGGGGGGUGGUGGAAAGCUUUUGCGGUGUGGGAUGGGCCCGCGGCCUAUCAGCUUGUUGGUGGGGUGAUGGCCUACCAAGGCGACGACGGGUAGCCGGCCUGAGAGGGUGACCGGCCACACUGGGACUGAGAUACGGCCCAGACUCCUACGGGAGGCAGCAGUGGGGAAUAUUGCACAAUGGGCGCAAGCCUGAUGCAGCGACGCCGCGUGAGGGAUGACGGCCUUCGGGUUGUAAACCUCUUUCAGCACCGACGAAGCGCAAGUGACGGUAGGUGCAGAAGAAGGACCGGCCAACUACGUGCCAGCCGCCGCAGUAA
rnacentral:rRNA from 1 species